rnacentral:rRNA from 1 species
UAGGGAAUCUUCCGCAAUGGGCGAAAGCCUGACGGAGCAACGCCGCGUGAGUGAAGAAGGUUUUCGGAUCGUAAAGCUCUGUUGCCAGAGAAGAACGCCAAGGAGAGUAACUGCUCUUUGGGUGACGGUAUCUGAGAAGAAAGCCCCGGCUAACUACGUGCCAGCAGCCGCGGUAAUACGUAGGGGGCAAGCGUUGUCCGGAAUUAUUGGGCGUAAAGCGCGCGCAGGCGGCUGUUUAAGUCUGGUGUUUAAGCCCGGGGCUCAACCCCGGUUCGCACUGGAAACUGGACGGCUUGAGUGCAGGAGAGGGAAGUGGAAUUCCACGUGUAGCGGUGAAAUGCGUAGAGAUGUGGAGGAACACCAGUGGCGAAGGCGACUUCCUGGCCUGUAACUGACGCUGAGGCGCGAAAGCGUGGGGAGCAAACAGGAUUAGAUACCCGCGUAGUCC